AGCGUACACGGUGGAUGCCCUGGCAGUCAGAGGCGAUGAAGGACGUGCUAAUCUGCGAAAAGCGUCGGUAAGGUGAUAUGAACCGUUAUAACCGGCGAUGUCCGAAUGGGGAAACCCAGUGCAAUUCGUUGCACUAUCGUUAACUGAAUACAUAGGUUAACGAGGCGAACCGGGGGAACUGAAACAUCUAAGUACCCCGAGGAAAAGAAAUCAACCGAGAUUCCCCCAGUAGCGGCGAGCGAACGGGGAGCAGCCCAGAGUCUGAAUCAGCUUGUGUGUUAGUGGAACGGUCUGGAAAGUCCGACGGUACAGGGUGAUAGUCCCGUACACCAAAAUGCACAGGUUGUGAACUCGAAGAGUAGGGCGGGACACGUGGUAUCCUGUCUGAAUAUGGGGGGACCAUCCUCCAAGGCUAAAUACUCCUGACUGACCGAUAGUGAACCAGUACCGUGAGGGAAAGGCGAAAAGAACCCCGGCGAGGGGAGUGAAAAAGAACCUGAAACCGUGUACGUACAAGCAGUGGGAGCACCUUCGGGUGUGACUGCGUACCUUUUGUAUAAUGGGUCAGCGACUUAUAUUCUGUAGCAAGGUUAACCGUAUAGGGGAGCCGCAGGGAAACCGAGUCUUAACUGGGCGUUAAGUUGCAGGGUAUAGACCCGAAACCCGGUGAUCUAGCCAUGGGCAGGUUGAAGGUUGGGUAACACUAACUGGAGGACCGAACCGACUAAUGUUGAAAAAUUAGCGGAUGACUUGUGGCUGGGGGUGAAAGGCCAAUCAAACCGGGAGAUAGCUGGUUCUCCCCGAAAGCUAUUUAGGUAGCGCCUCGUGAACUCAUCUUCGGGGGUAGAGCACUGUUUCGGCUAGGGGGUCAUCCCGACUUACCAACCCGAUGCAAACUACGAAUACCGAAGAAUGUUAUCACGGGAGACACACGGCGGGUGCUAACGUCCGUCGUGAAGAGGGAAACAACCCAGACCGCCAGCUAAGGUCCCAAAGUCAUGGUUAAGUGGGAAACGAUGUGGGAAGGCACAGACAGCCAGGAUGUUGGCUUAGAAGCAGCCAUCAUUUAAAGAAAGCGUAAUAGCUCACUGGUCGAGUCGGCCUGCGCGGAAGAUGUAACGGGGCUAAACCAUGCACCGAAGCUGCGGCAGCGACACUAUGUGUUGUUGGGUAGGGGAGCGUUCUGUAAGCCUGCGAAGGUGUGCUGUGAGGCAUGCUGGAGGUAUCAGAAGUGCGAAUGCUGACAUAAGUAACGAUAAAGCGGGUGAAAAGCCCGCUCGCCGGAAGACCAAGGGUUCCUGUCCAACGUUAAUCGGGGCAGGGUGAGUCGACCCCUAAGGCGAGGCCGAAAGGCGUAGUCGAUGGGAAACAGGUUAAUAUUCCUGUACUUGGUGUUACUGCGAAGGGGGGACGGAGAAGGCUAUGUUAGCCGGGCGACGGUUGUCCCGGUUUAAGCAUGUAGGCUGGUUGUCCAGGCAAAUCCGGAUAAUCAAGGCUGAGGUGUGAUGACGAGGCACUACGGUGCUGAAGUAACAAAUGCCCUGCUUCCAGGAAAAGCCUCUAAGCAUCAGGUAACAUUAAAUCGUACCCCAAACCGACACAGGUGGUCAGGUAGAGAAUACCAAGGCGCUUGAGAGAACUCGGGUGAAGGAACUAGGCAAAAUGGUGCCGUAACUUCGGGAGAAGGCACGCUGGUGUGUAGGUGAAGCCCCUGCGGGUGGAGCUGAGACCAGUCGAAGAUACCAGCUGGCUGCAACUGUUUAUUAAAAACACAGCACUGUGCAAACACGAAAGUGGACGUAUACGGUGUGACGCCUGCCCGGUGCCGGAAGGUUAAUUGAUGGGGUUAUCCGUAAGGAGAAGCUCUUGAUCGAAGCCCCGGUAAACGGCGGCCGUAACUAUAACGGUCCUAAGGUAGCGAAAUUCCUUGUCGGGUAAGUUCCGACCUGCACGAAUGGCGUAAUGAUGGCCAGGCUGUCUCCACCCGAGACUCAGUGAAAUUGAACUCGCUGUGAAGAUGCAGUGUACCCGCGGCAAGACGGAAAGACCCCGUGAACCUUUACUAUAGCUUGACACUGAACAUUGAGCCUUGAUGUGUAGGAUAGGUGGGAGGCUUUGAAGCGUGGACGCCAGUCUGCGUGGAGCCAACCUUGAAAUACCACCCUUUAAUGUUUGAUGUUCUAACGUUGGCCCCUGACCGGGGUUGCGGACAGUGUCUGGUGGGUAGUUUGACUGGGGCGGUCUCCUCCCAAAGCGUAACGGAGGAGCACGAAGGUUAGCUAAUCCUGGUCGGACAUCAGGAGGUUAGUGCAAUGGCAUAAGCUAGCUUGACUGCGAGCGUGACGGCGCGAGCAGGUGCGAAAGCAGGUCAUAGUGAUCCGGUGGUUCUGAAUGGAAGGGCCAUCGCUCAACGGAUAAAAGGUACUCCGGGGAUAACAGGCUGAUACCGCCCAAGAGUUCAUAUCGACGGCGGUGUUUGGCACCUCGAUGUCGGCUCAUCACAUCCUGGGGCUGAAGUAGGUCCCAAGGGUAUGGCUGUUCGCCAUUUAAAGUGGUACGCGAGCUGGGUUUAGAACGUCGUGAGACAGUUCGGUCCCUAUCUGCCGUGGGCGCUGGAGAAUUGAGGGGGGCUGCUCCUAGUACGAGAGGACCGGAGUGGACGCAUCACUGGUGUUCGGGUUGUCAUGCCAAUGGCACUGCCCGGUAGCUAAAUGCGGAAGAGAUAAGUGCUGAAAGCAUCUAAGCACGAAACUUGCCCCGAGAUGAGUUCU
rnacentral:rRNA from 1 species